UGGUGGAGCGAUUUGUCUGGUUAAUUCCGAUAACGAACGAGACUCUGGCCUAUUAAAUAGUUCGCCGAUUCCGAUCUGUCGGCGUUAACUUCCUAGAGGGACAAGUGGCUUUUAGCCACGCGAGAUUGAGCAAUAACA
rnacentral:rRNA from 1 species